UGUCCAGGGAUGGGAAUCGAACCCACAGUGUUCCGCUUACCGUGCAGAUGCCAUAUCCACUAGGCUACCCUGGC
rnacentral:tRNA from 1 species